rnacentral:rRNA from 1 species
AGUUUGAUCAUGGCUCAGAUUGAACGCUGGCGGGAUGCUUUACACAUGCAAGUCGAACGGCAGCACGGACUUCGGUCUGGUGAAGAGUGGCGAACGGGUGAGUAAUGUAUCGGAACGUGCCUAGUAGCGGGGAUAACUACGCGAAAGCGUAGCCAAUACCGCAUACGCCCUUCGGGGAAAGCGGGGACCUUUCGGGCCUCGCACUAUUAGAGCGGCCGAUAUCGGAUUAGCUGCUGGUGUAAUUGCUCACCAAGGCGACGAUCCGUAGCUGUCGAGAGGACGACCAGCCACACUGGACUGGAGACACGGCCCAGACUCCUACGGGAGGCGGCAGUGGGGAAUUUUGGACAAUGGGGAAUCCCGAUCCAGCCAUCCUGCGUGUGUGAUGAAGGCCUGCCAGGAAGCACUUUUGGCAGGAAAGAAACGGCACUGGAUAGACACCUCGUGCAACUGACGGUAUUCAACAGCGCAUCACAACUACGCCAGCAGCUGCGAAUACGUAGGGUGCAAGGAAAGACCGGAAUUACUGGGCGUAAAAGUGCAUAGUUCGAAAGAAAGAUGUGAAAUCCCAGAGCUAACUUUGGAACCGGGCCUAACUACCGAGCGAGUAAGUCAGAGGGAGGUGGAAUUCCGCGUGGUAGCAGUGAAAUGCGUAGAUAUGCGGAGGAACACCGAUGCGAAGUGCAGCCCCAUGGGGAUACACUGACGCUCACGCAUCGCAAGUGCGGGAGCAAACAGGAUUAGAUACCCGGGUAGUCCACACCAAACGAGUCAACUAGCUUUCGCUAGCCUUCGGCCUUAUAGCGCAGCUAACGCGUGAAGUUGACCGCCCGGGGAGCAUUGGUCGCAAGAUUAAAACUCAAAGGAAUUGACGGGGACUCCGCACAAAGCGGUGGAUGAGCGUGAUUAAUUCGAUGCAACGCGAAAAACCUUACUCACUCUUGACAUGUCUGGAAUCCCGAAGAGAUUUGGAGUGCUCGCAAGAGAACCGGAACACAUGCGUACGGCUGUCGUCAGCUCGUGUCGUGAGAUGUUGCUGAGUCCUGCAACGAGCGCAACCUCGUCAUUAGCGCGUGAAAGGGCACCACGAGACUGCCGUGGUGAUAAACCGGAGGAAGGUGGGGAUGACGCUGUCCUCAUGGCCUCGGCGGGCAGGGCUUCACACGUCAUAAUGGUCGGCACAGAGGGUCGCCAACCGCAGAGGGGAGCCAAUCCCAGAAACCCGAUCGUAGUCCGGAUCGCAGUCUGCAACUCGACUGCGUGAAGUCGGAAUCGCUAGUAAUCGCGGAUCAGCAUGUCGCGGUGAAUACGUUCCCGGUCUGUACACACCGCCCGUCACAUCAUGGGAGUGGUUUUACCAGAAGUAAAGGCCUGAAACCGUAAGGAGGGCGAUUACCACGGUAGGAUUCAUGACUGGGGUGAAGUCGUAACAAGGUAG